ACGGGUGAGUAACACGUGGGUAACCUGCCCUGUACUCUGGGAUAAGCCUUGGAAACGAGGUCUAAUACCGGAUACGACACUGGAUCGCAUGAUUUGGUGUGGAAAGUUCCGGCGGUAUGGGAUGGACCCGCGGCCUAUCAGCUUGUUGGUGGGGUAAUGGCCUACCAAGGCGACGACGGGUAGCCGGCCUGAGAGGGUGACCGGCCACACUGGGACUGAGACACGGCCCAGACUCCUACGGGAGGCAGCAGUGGGGAAUAUUGCACAAUGGGCGAAAGCCUGAUGCAGCGACGCCGCGUGAGGGAUGACGGCCUUCGGGUUGUAAACCUCUUUCAGCAGGGACGAAGCGCAAGUGACGGUACCUGCAGAAGAAGCACCGGCUAACUACGUGCCAGCAGCCGCGGUAAUACGUAGGGUGCGAGCGUUGUCCGGAAUUAUUGGGCGUAAAGAGCUCGUAGGCGGUUUGUCGCGUCGGCCGUGAAAACUUGAGGCUUAACUCCAAGCUUGCGGUCGAUACGGGCAGACUUGAGUUCGGCAGGGGAGACUGGAAUUCCUGGUGUAGCGGUGAAAUGCGCAGA
rnacentral:rRNA from 1 species